AUUUUACCUGUGAAGAAACCUGGCCCUGGGACUUUUUUUUUCUUGGGAGGUUUUUGAUUACUGAUUUUAUCUCCUUGUUUGCUAUUGUCCUGUUCAGGCUUCCUGUUUCUUGAUUCAGCCUUGUUGAAAAUCCCAGGCCUAGAGGUACCCAGUUCACAUGCUGGCUGACCCUGAGCUGAGGGGGAGGAUGAGUGCCCUAAAGCAAGAAGAUGGUCGUCUGCAACCCAGUAAUAGAGCCCUCACCAGGAACUGAAUCACUGGCACCUUGAUCUUGGGUUUUCAAGCUUCCAGAACUGUGAGAAAUCAACUUCCACUGUUUAAGUUGCCCAGUCUCAGGUGUUCUGUUACAGCAGCUCAAGUUGACUCAUACACCCACGUAAUAUGAAGUCUCCAGACACUCCACGGAGACAUCUGGGCCUGGACACUGAAGAGUUCUUUGAAUCACUCAGCAAAGCCACCGCAACGUGCCAAGCCACUGGGGGAUACAUGAUGAAGACCCCUUUCCUGCCGCUAAGAUAGAAGGGUCUUUUGACAGGAGGAUUGUCUUAUUUCCCCAACGGUCAUUUGCCUGGGGCCACGCAACAGCACUGUGGACUCUGACCAUGAACUCUUGCAACACCCCCAUCUCACCACUGCAGUCAAGCCAGAGGGUCGUGGGAAUCUCAAGGGAGAAGAUUCCCUGGCAUUGGAGGUCAUAACCCCUUCUUUUCACAGAGAGUUUACAAAAUGCUUUUACGUGUUACCUUGUUCUCAGAAGGACACAGAAUGUCCUGAGGGUCCUGGAAACUCACCAAUAAAUACCUCCCAAACAAGCUGAGGAUGGUGAGGACACCACUGUACACACCACCUUGUCUCUGUCACCGCAUGGCUAUGGUGAAGAUUUCCUUCCAUGCUCCCUAGCCACCGCCCUGUUUCUGGGAGACUAGUGGCUCUCACCCAGCACAAUGCUCGUGAGCUCUCUUCCAGCUGUGGAGUGUCUCAAUAGUUGCUUCCUUUCUACUGCGGAGCAGUGGCCUGUGUUUACCUUGCUAUGUUCAUAGGCAGUGCUUGCCAUUGAUCAGCUCUCACCAGGCCAAGGUCCACAGAUUCGGC
rnacentral:lncRNA from 10 species